AAAAGAACUUGACAAUGCUCUUCAAAUAUCUAAGAUGUGCAAACUCUAAAAUUAAGCAGGGACUAUUUAAUAAGAGAAACUUUAAUGUAAAGAUGAACUAUUAACUAUAAAAGAAAAAUCAGAUAUAAUUUCUUAAUCUAAUUUCAUUAUUAAUGAUGUCAUAUCACAAUCAUAAA